GGUUAUUUCGUGUGACCUUUCGAGUUCUUCUUCUCCUCUCACGAACAAGACACAACGGCGCACUCCUUCUCUCCGAUCAAAAUCACCGGCCACUUUUCAUCUUCUCCGAUUCGCUUUAUCUUCUUCUUCUGCGUUUUUGUGUUGUGCGUGAUGUUGCGUGGUCGUUGUCAUCAUUUCUACAGGUCGUCGAUGAUGAUGAGGCGACGAUGAUGGGAUGGAUGUUGGUGAUCGAUGAAGAGAUGAUUGAAGAAUUCAUUGAUGAGGAUGAUGAUGAUGCAGAGGCGUUGUUGAAGAUACUAAAUUGUCGAUUGAGGAGAGAUUGGUGGAAUUCGAUAUUCGUCGCGGUUCGGUUAGAGAUGCGUUUCUGUUACGUUUUUUUUCUGAUGAUUCUCAACCUCUUGUUCUUCUCUCUGAAUUCAGAGUUGAUGAAGAUGAAACUCUGAAGAUUGGUUGAAGAACGACUCUGGAUUGAAGUUUGGUGCGAUGAAGAAGAUGGUUUUUCUUUGUCGAUUUUCUGUUGUGAUUCUCGAUCUCUAUUUGCAGAUUGAAGAAUUGGUGGAGGAUUUUUAUUAUUGAAGGUUGGUAGUGAUUGAAGAUGGAUGAAGGCUGAAGAGUUUUUGAUGAAGGUGAGAAUUGAAAGUGAAUGAAGGAGAUGAGAACAAAAAUGGUGGUGAGGAAUGAAGAGAAUGGAGAAGAUUGAAGGCGUGAAGGGUGAAGAAGAAGGGCCUCCGAGAUUGAAGGUUGAUGUUUCUGUUAUAUAGAGUGUGAAGAGCCGAAUAUUGAGAAUCUGAGCUUCAAGCUUUGGAGUACUGAACCGACUUAUAUAUUGCUGCAGAUUUCAUUUGUAUGAUGGAGUUAGCCGGUCUUGGUAUUUUGUCACUGCGGUUCAGCUUCGGUUUAUAAGUGCAAGGUGGAGUUUGGACUGAUAUAGUGCGGGUUGAACACAUGGUUACUUGGGAUGGUUGAGUGGAUUUGCGCCUUUGAAUUCAAUCCGUAGCUUGUUCUUCUUAUUUUCUGUUAAGUGAAGUGUAAGCUGGUAUGUGAUUCUUGAAAGUGAAGCAAUUUGGAACUUGAAGGUCACCCUGAAGUUGAAGCUUGAAGACUGAGGCAAGGACUAGGCUUUAGGAAAUUCCAAUUAACUUUAUGUAGACUUCUUUUGUAUGAAUUUUUGUAUUAUCGUGAAGAUUAAAACUAAGAACAAUACACCAAAGCAUUAUUUCUCUCCUCUUUUUUGUAUUUCCUCUUGACAUAGUGAUGGACUUUUUGUAAUGGGUUUUGAAUGGAAUUGUGAGUUUGUAAUGAAUGAUGAUGUUGAAUGAAA